GACGAACGCUGGCGGCGUGCUUAACACACGCAAGUCGAACGGAAAGGCCCUGCUUGCAGGGUGCUCGAGUGGCGAACGGGUGAGUAACACGUGGGUGAUCUGCCCCUUAUUUUGGGAUAAGCCUGGGAAACUGGGUCUAAUACUGGAUAGGACCAUGCUGUAGGUGGUGUGGUGGAAAGAUUAGUUUCGGUAAGGGAUGAGCUCGCGGCCUAUCAGCUUGUUGGUGGGGUAAUGGCCUACCAAGGCGUCGACGGGUAGCCGGCCUGAGAGGGUGGACGGCCACAUUGGGACUGAGAUACGGCCCAGACUCCUACGGGAGGCAGCAGUGGGGAAUAUUGCACAAUGGGCGCAAGCCUGAUGCAGCGACGCCGCGUGGGGGAUGACGGCCUUCGGGUUGUAAACUCCUUUCAGCCAUGACGAAGCCCUUGUGGUGACGGUAGUGGUAGAAGAAGCACCGGCUAACUACGUG
rnacentral:rRNA from 1 species